rnacentral:rRNA from 1 species
ACUCCUACGGGAGGCAGCAGUAGGGAAUCUUCCGCAAUGGGCGAAAGCCUGACGGAGCAACGCCGCGUGAGUGAUGAAGGUCUUCGGAUCGUAAAACUCUGUUAUCAGGGAAGAACAAAUGUGUAAGUAACUGUGCACAUCUUGACGGUACCUGAUCAGAAAGCCACGGCUAACUACGUGCCAGCAGCCGCGGUAAUAC